CCAUGUCCAGCUCGCGUGAAGCGCAACAGUUUCCAACUGCAUUGAUGCGAUGCUGUUGUGUAACACCAACACCAUUCAACGAAGCAGCCUCUCUCGCUCGCUUGCUCCUCGAUCGAAAGCCUGUUUGCCCUCGAAGGACUUUUCUUAACUGGAAUUCGAGCAAAGGAACGAAGCGUUGCGGUUGUGUAGAGCCUUCACGGAGCGCUAGAUUGGACCGCGGAGGCCGAGGUUGAUGUGAAUCCUGUGAUGCGCUGAGGAGUCCUCGGGUUUGUGCUAGAUGGUGGAGGAGGGGGUAAGCACCUUGGGAUCUGCGUUAAGGCCAGGAUUGUACCUUUAUAGUUCCGACACUAUCGAGGAUGGAAAUCGGGUUUGAACGACGGGAACAAUGGGGAAUGGCGCCCCGUGAAUUAUUCCUUGGGGUGAGGGAUCAAGGGAGGAAUGGUAACAGGUCGAGGUGGAAAAUAGGGCAAAGAACAAGAAAGCAGAGCAAGUGAUGUCUAUUCAUAUGAGAAGCCACAUAUCACUUCUUAUAAAGCUGAUACUUACAUGGCUUUUGCUGGUUUCAAUGUGAACAAGACUUGGAGAGCGAAGGUAGAAGGGAGAAGAAAAAGAGGAAGAGGGCGGGAAGAGACUCCUUUAAAGUCCCCUGAAUUCAAGUCUGAAACUUCAAAUGCGGACCAUCGUCCCCACCUGAAAGAUUACUCGUCUAUGUGAAAUGCAAAUUAAAAGCUAAGCGUGAUGCAGCCUCUUGUGAGGAUGCGAUAUCCCGUUCCUCUCUAAAGAUCCCUGUUUCAAAGUCAGUUGGAGUGACGCCAAGGAUGGUCUUGGUUAUUGUACAAGGGAAUGAAUUUACUUGGGAUGCGAAGUGGCGACCAGUGGCAGAGGAGGUUGGCGCUUGUGAUUUUACGGAGGGUUUAAAUUAGCGGGCAAGCGUAAUACUCGGUUUUAUUGUGGAUAUUUUUUGGGAUGGUCAACCCAAUCGAUCAGACGCGGUUUUUAUAAACGUAUUCGAUGUUUAGUUACGAAGUUUCUGGAAGUGGCCAGGAAGCUUCUGGCUGGAAAGGAGUGAAAAAGAAAAGAAAAGAAAAGAAAAUGAGCCAUUGCUUGUGUAAAUGAACCCAAUCUUCCGCAUAAACGACCUCCAAAAGAAGGAAUGUAAUAGGUAUGGUGUUCAUGGCUUAUUAUCUCUCAAAUUGUUGGCAGGUGAGUACCAAUAAGACUGAAAUUACUGCUGUCGUUUAUUUUUGUGGUUUCUGCAUUGUGACUUGAAUUCAUUUUUAUUAAUUUUUUUUCAAAGUUGGUAUGAUCAGCCUUCAUAGAAAAUUCAAUUUCGGAGUUUUUCUCAGUUAAAUGGUGUGACAACCAAUUAACAACAUUCAAUUGUUUUAAUAUAUUUGAGGAUUUGUAUAUUAAACGCCUGCACUCAUCCUAUUUGACCCAUUUUAUGACCAUGUAGUUUUCUUAAGCUCAGAAUGUUUAAUCAUUGAACGCAGAUAGCUGUUUUCAGAGAUUUUCCUCGUUCCACAAUUCUUGAAGAGAGUCGGCUGCUACUUUUCUUCAUAGUUAUUGUAUGACACUACGAACAAUUGCUUGGUCAACUUAAGGCUGGAACAUGUGGUGGGUAACAGUUCCUUGAUUGCCAAGGUGGGUAGAACUUCUUUACCAACCAUUGAGUAUGCCAACAAUGCCAGGUUGAUCAAGUCAGAAGCAUUUUUCCUGAACUUUCUGAGGUGGUGAGAAACUUCACACAAAAGUGACUGUGACUGGAUGGAAACAACUUUCCUUUCCAUGAUUAACUCUUGGGCACAUUUGAAAGAACAUUGGUAACAUGACCCAGCUAGUGUAGCGUCUUUUGAAUAAUUGGUAUUGUAUGGUGCUGGUUCGAUUCCGUUUGAAUACUGCAACAAGUGGUAGCUUUUGAAACCACCAUAGGAAUUUUGAAUUUGUUAAUAUUUUUUUUUUUUGCACCAUCAUGACAGUCAAUAAAAAUUAUAGUUUGUAAGAAAUAAUGAUGCUGAAUUUAUAAAAAAAUUAUUAAUAAAAAGAAUUAUAUUUUUAGUAAUUUUGGGUAAUGCUACCACCAAAGUUUAGUAACUGUGUCAAUAAAUUAUUGUACACAUUUUAUACACACACAUUUUAUAAA